rnacentral:rRNA from 1 species
UACGUAGGGGGCUAGCGUUGUCCGGAAUCAUUGGGCGUAAAGAGCGUGUAGGCGGCCCGGUAAGUCCGCUGUGAAAGUCGGGGGCUCAACCCUCGGAUGCCGGUGGAUACUGUCGGACUAGAGUCCGGAAGAGGCGAGUGGAAUUCCCGGUGUAGCGGUGAAAUGCGCAGAUAUCGGGAGGAACACCAAUGGCGAAGGCAGCUCGCUGGGACGGUACUGACGCUGAGGCGCGAAAGCGUGGGGAGCAAACAGG